rnacentral:rRNA from 1 species
GACGAACCGUCCUAACGUUGUUCGGAAUCACUGGGCUUAAAGGGCGCGUAGGCGGCUUGCCAAGUCAGGGGUGAAAUCCUGCAGCUUAACUGUAGAAGGGCCUUUGAUACUGGCAAGCUCGAGGGAGGUAGGGGUAUGUGGAACUUCCGGUGGAGCGGUGAAAUGCGUUGAUAUCAUUAGGAACGCCGGUGGCGAAAGCGCUCGACUGGACCUCUUCUGACGCUGAGGCGCGAAAGCCAGGGGAGCAAACGGG